rnacentral:tRNA from 1 species
AGGGUAAUAGUUAAAUAUAACAUUUGAUUUGCAUUCAAAAGGUGUUGAUUCAAUCAACUUAUCUUA